AUGCUACUUACACAUUUUACAAUCUUUAUUUUGAUGUGUGGAUUUUAUUCCCGAUUUCAUGCUAUCGCACAUGCACAAAUUCAAACAGUUCAGACCCAAAAAGAAGGUUGGUUGAUUUUCUGUACAGCAACAAUAUUUUUAAAAUAUGAAACAGUAUACUAAAAAAAAAUAAAAUUGUUUUUAACGUAAGAAAGAUAUUUGCAGUUUCUCACACUCCUUUCUGAUAUUGA
rnacentral:lncRNA from 1 species